rnacentral:rRNA from 1 species
UGGUAAUGCCGGAUGCUCCAUCACACCGCAUGGUGUGUUGGGAAAGCCUUUGCGGCAUGGGAUGGGGUCGCGUCCUAUCAGCUUGAUGGCGGGGUAACGGCCCACCAUGGCUUCGACGGGUAGCCGGCCUGAGAGGGCGACCGGCCACAUUGGGACUGAGAUACGGCCCAGACUCCUACGGGAGGCAGCAGUGGGGAAUAUUGCACAAUGGGCGCAAGCCUGAUGCAGCGACGCCGCGUGAGGGAUGGAGGCCUUCGGGUUGUAAACCUCUUUUGUUAGGGAGCAAGGCAUUUUGUGUUGAGUGUACCUUUCGAAUAAGCACCGGCUAACUACGUGCCAGCAGCCGCGGUAAUACGUAGGGUGCAAGCGUUAUCCGGAAUUAUUGGGCGUAAAGGGCUCGUAGGCGGUUCGUCGCGUCCGGUGUGAAAGUCCAUCGCUUAACGGUGGAUCCGCGCCGGGUACGGGCGGGCUUGAGUGCGGUAGGGGAGACUGGAAUUCCCGGUGUAACGGUGGAAUGUGUAGAUAUCGGAAAGAACACC